rnacentral:rRNA from 1 species
CCUACGGGAGGCAGCAGUGGGGGAUAUUGCACAAUGGGGGAAACCCUGAUGCAGCGACGCCGCGUGUGGGAAGACGGUCCUCUGGAUUGUAAACCACUGUCCCCAGGGACGAAGAUGACGGUACCUGGGGAGGAAGCUCCGGCUAACUACGUGCCAGCAGCCGCGGUACUACGUAGGGUGCGAGCGUUGUCCGGAAUUACGGGGUGUAAAGGGAGCUGAGGCGGGACUGCAAGUUGGGUGUCAAAUCUACCGGCUCAACCGGUAGCCGCACUCAAAACUGCAGUUCUUGAGUGAAGUAGAGGCAGGCGGAAUUCCUAGUGUAGCGGUGAAAUGCGUAGAUAUUAGGAGGAACACCAGUGGCGAAGGCGGCCUGCUGGGCUUUUACUGACGCUGAGGCUCGAAAGUGUGGGGAGCAAACAGGAUUAGAUACCCGUGUAGUC